rnacentral:rRNA from 1 species
GAUGAACGCUGGCGGCGUGCCUAAUACAUGCAAGUCGAGCGAACAGACGAGGAGCUUGCUCCUCUGACGUUAGCGGCGGACGGGUGAGUAACACGUGGAUAACCUACCUAUAAGACUGGGAUAACUUCGGGAAACCGGAGCUAAUACCGGAUAAUAUAUUGAACCGCAUGGUUCAAUAGUGAAAGACGGUUUUGCUGUCACUUAUAGAUGGAUCCGCGCCGCAUUAGCUAGUUGGUAAGGUAACGGCUUACCAAGGCAACGAUGCGUAGCCGACCUGAGAGGGUGAUCGGCCACACGGGAACGGAGACACGGUCCAGACUCCUACGGGAGGCAGCAGUAGGGAAUCUGCCGCAAUGGGCGAAAGCCUGACGGAGCAACGCCGCGUGAGUGAUGAAGGUCUUCGGAUCGUAAAACUCUGUUAUUAGGGAAGAACAAAUGUGUAAGUAACUAUGCACGUCUUGACGGUACCUAAUCAGAAAGCCACGGCUAACUACGUG